rnacentral:rRNA from 1 species
UUGAGGAAUAUUGCGCAAUGGAGGCAACUCUGACGCAGCCAUGCCGCGUGCAGGAAGAAGGCGCUACGCGUUGUAAACUGCUUUUAACCGGGAAGAAACCCCAGGACGUGUCCUGGGUUGACGGUACCGGAGGAAUAAGCACCGGCUAACUUCGUGCCAGCAGCCGCGGUAAUACGAAGGGUGCAAGCGUUAUCCGGAUUCAUUGGGUUUAAAGGGUGCGUAGGCGGAGCGUUAAGUCAGUGGUGAAAUCCUGCAGCUUAACUGUAGACUUGCCAUUGAUACUGGCGCUCUUGAGUGCGCUUGAAGUGGGCGGAAUGUGCCGUGUAGCGGUGAAAUGCUUAGAUAUGGCACAGAACACCAAUUGCGAAGGCAGCUCACUAAGGCGAUACUGACGCUGAGGCACGAAAGCGUGGGGAUCGAACAGGAUUAGAUACCCCGGUAGUCC